AUACCUAAAACAAUGAAAGCCCUACCUCUCUUCCAUCCUUACGGCUCCUUGUCCGUGCCAGUGUGAAUCAGGAUACUAAAAAAAGUGA
rnacentral:sRNA from 1 species